CAUCUACUCCCUCCGUUCGGAAUUACUUGUCGUGAAAAUGGAUGUAUCUAGAUACAUCCAUUUUCACGACAAGUAAUUCCGAACGGAGGGAGUAUAUG
rfam:Triticum aestivum genome assembly, contig: Triticum_aestivum_CS42_TGACv1_scaffold_195848_3AL